rnacentral:tRNA from 1 species
AGCUUUAUAGUUUAAAAAAAACAUUAAUUUUGUAAAUUAAAUUUAAAUAAAUAUUUUAAAGCU